rnacentral:rRNA from 1 species
AGCGUACACGGUGGAUGCCCUGGCAGUCAGAGGCGAUGAAGGACGUGCUAAUCUGCGAUAAGCGUCGGUAAGGUGAUAUGAACCGUUAUAACCGGCGAUUUCCGAAUGGGGAAACCCAGUGUGAUUCGUCACACUAUCAUUAACUGAAUCCAUAGGUUAAUGAGGCGAACCGGGGGAACUGAAACAUCUAAGUACCCCGAGGAAAAGAAAUCAACCGAGAUUCCCCCAGUAGCGGCGAGCGAACGGGGAGCAGCCCAGAGCCUGAAUCAGUAUGUGUGUUAGUGGAAGCGUCUGGAAAGGCGCGCGAUACAGGGUGACAGCCCCGUACACAAAAAUGCACAUGCUGUGAGCUCGAUGAGUAGGGCGGGACACGUGGUAUCCUGUCUGAAUAUGGGGGGACCAUCCUCCAAGGCUAAAUACUCCUGACUGACCGAUAGUGAACCAGUACCGUGAGGGAAAGGCGAAAAGAACCCCGGCGAGGGGAGUGAAAAAGAACCUGAAACCGUGUACGUACAAGCAGUGGGAGCACGCUUAGGCGUGUGACUGCGUACCUUUUGUAUAAUGGGUCAGCGACUUAUAUUCUGUAGCAAGGUUAACCGAAUAGGGGAGCCGAAGGGAAACCGAGUCUUAACUGGGCGUUAAGUUGCAGGGUAUAGACCCGAAACCCGGUGAUCUAGCCAUGGGCAGGUUGAAGGUUGGGUAACACUAACUGGAGGACCGAACCGACUAAUGUUGAAAAAUUAGCGGAUGACUUGUGGCUGGGGGUGAAAGGCCAAUCAAACCGGGAGAUAGCUGGUUCUCCCCGAAAGCUAUUUAGGUAGCGCCUCGUGAAUUCAUCUCCGGGGGUAGAGCACUGUUUCGGCAAGGGGGUCAUCCCGACUUACCAACCCGAUGCAAACUGCGAAUACCGGAGAAUGUUAUCACGGGAGACACACGGCGGGUGCUAACGUCCGUCGUGAAGAGGGAAACAACCCAGACCGCCAGCUAAGGUCCCAAAGUCAUGGUUAAGUGGGAAACGAUGUGGGAAGGCCCAGACAGCCAGGAUGUUGGCUUAGAAGCAGCCAUCAUUUAAAGAAAGCGUAAUAGCUCACUGGUCGAGUCGGCCUGCGCGGAAGAUGUAACGGGGCUAAACCAUGCACCGAAGCUGCGGCAGCGACACUAUGUGUUGUUGGGUAGGGGAGCGUUCUGUAAGCCUGUGAAGGUGUGCUGUGAGGUAUGCUGGAGGUAUCAGAAGUGCGAAUGCUGACAUAAGUAACGAUAAAGCGGGUGAAAAGCCCGCUCGCCGGAAGACCAAGGGUUCCUGUCCAACGUUAAUCGGGGCAGGGUGAGUCGACCCCUAAGGCGAGGCCGAAAGGCGUAGUCGAUGGGAAACAGGUUAAUAUUCCUGUACUUGGUGUUACUGCGAAGGGGGGACGGAGAAGGCUAUGUUGGCCGGGCGACGGUUGUCCCGGUUUAAGCGUGUAGGCUGGUUUUCCAGGCAAAUCCGGAAAAUCAAGGCUGAGGCGUGAUGACGAGGCACUACGGUGCUGAAGCAACAAAUGCCCUGCUUCCAGGAAAAGCCUCUAAGCAUCAGGUAACAUCAAAUCGUACCCCAAACCGACACAGGUGGUCAGGUAGAGAAUACCAAGGCGCUUGAGAGAACUCGGGUGAAGGAACUAGGCAAAAUGGUGCCGUAACUUCGGGAGAAGGCACGCUGAUAUGUAGGUGAAGUCCCUCGCGGAUGGAGCUGAAAUCAGUCGAAGAUACCAGCUGGCUGCAACUGUUUAUUAAAAACACAGCACUGUGCAAACACGAAAGUGGACGUAUACGGUGUGACGCCUGCCCGGUGCCGGAAGGUUAAUUGAUGGGGUCAGCGCAAGCGAAGCUCUUGAUCGAAGCCCCGGUAAACGGCGGCCGUAACUAUAACGGUCCUAAGGUAGCGAAAUUCCUUGUCGGGUAAGUUCCGACCUGCACGAAUGGCGUAAUGAUGGCCAGGCUGUCUCCACCCGAGACUCAGUGAAAUUGAACUCGCUGUGAAGAUGCAGUGUACCCGCGGCAAGACGGAAAGACCCCGUGAACCUUUACUAUAGCUUGACACUGAACAUUGAGCCUUGAUGUGUAGGAUAGGUGGGAGGCUUUGAAGUGUGGACGCCAGUCUGCAUGGAGCCGACCUUGAAAUACCACCCUUUAAUGUUUGAUGUUCUAACGUUGACCCGUAAUCCGGGUUGCGGACAGUGUCUGGUGGGUAGUUUGACUGGGGCGGUCUCCUCCUAAAGAGUAACGGAGGAGCACGAAGGUUGGCUAAUCCUGGUCGGACAUCAGGAGGUUAGUGCAAUGGCAUAAGCCAGCUUGACUGCGAGCGUGACGGCGCGAGCAGGUGCGAAAGCAGGUCAUAGUGAUCCGGUGGUUCUGAAUGGAAGGGCCAUCGCUCAACGGAUAAAAGGUACUCCGGGGAUAACAGGCUGAUACCGCCCAAGAGUUCAUAUCGACGGCGGUGUUUGGCACCUCGAUGUCGGCUCAUCACAUCCUGGGGCUGAAGUAGGUCCCAAGGGUAUGGCUGUUCGCCAUUUAAAGUGGUACGCGAGCUGGGUUUAGAACGUCGUGAGACAGUUCGGUCCCUAUCUGCCGUGGGCGCUGGAGAACUGAGGGGGGCUGCUCCUAGUACGAGAGGACCGGAGUGGACGCAUCACUGGUGUUCGGGUUGUCAUGCCAAUGGCACUGCCCGGUAGCUAAAUGCGGAAGAGAUAAGUGCUGAAAGCAUCUAAGCACGAAACUUGCCCCGAGAUGAGUUCU